CACGUAGGGGGGCAAGCGUUGUCCGGAUUUAUUGGGCGUAAAGAGCUCGUAGGUGGUUCGGUAAGUCGGAUGUGAAAUCUCCAGGCUCAACCUGGAGGGGUCAUUCGAUACUGCCGUGACUAGAGUUCGGUAGGGGAGUGUGGAAUUCCUGGUGGAGCGGUGAAAUGCGCAGAUAUCAGGAGGAACACCCGUAGCGAAGGCGGCACUCUGGGCCGAUACUGACACUGAGGAGCGAAAGCGUGGGGAGCGAACAGG
rnacentral:rRNA from 1 species